UCUAGGUGGAUUUCAUUCAUAGUGCAUGUCUUACAUCUAGGUGGAUUUCAAAAUAAAUGAUAUACAAGUGGUUGAGUUGGCCGAUGUUAACAUAGUAAUUUUAUAUGUACAAAGUAGAGAAUAGUACAGAAGGGGGAAGAAUUAGAGAAAGAAAAAGGAGGAAUGUGAGAGCAGAAUAUACAUGGUUAGAAGAAGAGUUAUUCAUGGUUUACACGAUCGAAGGUUGUAAAUCAAGGGACAGAGUCAUAUUCUCAGUUAGACUAUAUAAUCAGGAAUAAGAUAUCAAUGAUUCGUGGGUUGAUGUGAGUUACAGUUAUUAUAAGGGUCGGUGGCUGACGCAUUUUGACAACUUCUCUUCCUCAUCAUUUUUGCAUGUAGAUAAAUGUGUAGUAUAUAGAGUGGUGAGAGGGUCCCACUACGGUUUAGAAUGUUUUGAAAUAUGUACCUGAUAAAUAUUGAUUUUUGAAAUGACAUAAUAUGUGCGUUUUAUGUA